AAAUGUUAGGGUUUGCGUGAGAUGGGGGUUGCUCUGAGUUCUCUGUCAGGUUCCUCUCCAGGUUUUGUCCAGGGUUUUGUUUCAUGGAAACCUCAGAGUAUUUUGCUUCCCUUCCUUUUUCUGUCUGAUCUCCCUCUUUUAUAACCUGAUUUUCAUGGCUUUGUGGGCUCAAAUGAGAGAGGUCUAAGUCCAAGUUUUUUCUAUUAUAUUUUAUUUAUUUUUUU
rnacentral:lncRNA from 1 species